GCUGCCUAUGAAAGUGGAGAACUGGCCAAGCUUCUAGGAACUUCCGCAACAGGCAAAGAACUUUAAACCAAGAAUGUCAAACCAAAUUCCGGUGAUAGUAACAGCAACUUGAUAUGUUAUGCCUGCAAUACAUGUAAACCAUAUGUAUGAAAAAGUUCCAAAUGUAACUAUCACCAGUGCACAUUAGUGUCACGCUGCUUAUUUUUAUUAUGGCUAAUCAUGGUCACUUGAAUCAAAAGACCAUUUUUCAUUUAAGCUUAAUUGAGAAUCAGUUGUAUCUAUUCUUGUUGACGAUUACAUAGAUUAAAGCCGUACAUAAUAAUCGCAACCUCGUAUUGCCUUCAUUUUUUAUGAAUUGCCUUGUUUUUAUUAAAAGCUUCUUGUUGCAUUAGAAGUUAGAACUAUGUAUCUGUGCAUUUGAUGCUUCUUGUUGCAUUAGAACUAUGUAUCUGUGCAUUUGAUGUUUUAAAAUAUUCUAAAGUUGCUUUUUACAUAAUGGUAGAAAAAUUUGGCCAAGUAAAAUCAAUCAUGUUAUACAGAUAUGAGAGAUCAUUAUAUCGGAGGACAAGGACUUGACGUCUUGACAUGCAUUUUAAUAUUUCAUUAAAUUACAAUUCCAUAAAUUAUUGAAUUUUUUUCUUUCUUAAUAAAAAAGUUUCAAUAAAAAAGAAAAAAAAUUAAAAAUAGAUUAUGAAAAUUGACUUUAUAUUCAUCUUAGAAUACGUCUCCUCCCGAUGGGAGAAAAAUUUGUGAUUAUGCUUCCUGGACCAUAGCUUGUCGUUUAAGUGUAGUUUAUCUUGUCGUUUAAGUGCAGUUUAUCUGAUUCUCGUAGUUUGCAGGCCAUUGCAUGAGUCCGUGGGUUUAUCCGGUGCGCACCUAAAAGGGUAGCAGCUGCGGAUUCCUACGUUAAAAAAAAAAAAUUCAUCUCGAACACUAGAAAAAACAAUAUACAAUUGAACGGGACAGAGAUGAUGGCCCUGUUUGGGAACUAGCGGUUACCUGUCAGUAGAUUGAAUUAGAUAUUUUGAAUAGUUGAUUUAAAUAGAUGUUUUGACUAGUGGAUUGAAUUAGUGUUUUCUUGUUAAACUGUUUGGUAAAUAGUUGUUUGAUGAGCUUUUUGUGACACAUACCCAACCGCUAACCCAAAAAGCUCCUCAAACUAGCUUUUUGAAAAUUAGCUUUUUGAGCCCAAACCUCUAUUUCAAUCCACUAACUACCAAACACUAACAUUAGCGGAUUGAAAUGGUCAAAACUCUAAAACACCCAAAAUCUCUAAUUUACCCCAAAUUUUUAACUUUCAAACACCCCUGAUAUUAUUAGAGAUGAGAUAAUUUGGACCCCGAUAUUACUAGAGAUGAGAUAAUUUGGAAUGGAGGAAGUAUAAUUAACGUUGUUUCCUUCGCACAUCACACAUUUCAUAUCAAUUUUGUAAUGUUUAAUAGCACAUAUUUUAUAUAAAAUUAAUUAGCGAAGUGAUAUUCUAGACCCGAUAAUAUUAUAUAUUCAUUUUUUUUUUCUCUUUUUUAAUUAAAGGUACUAUUAAGAGUCGUUCUUCUAGUGUUCAGUUUUGAGGAGUAACCGACGGUCAAAUUGCUCCAUUUUUACUCAAGAAUGUCAAUACUUUAAUGGACUGUGAACCCAUCAAAGACGACAAGUAAUAACCAAUCAUUCGACUCUUUGACUGUGACCAACAGUUAUUACUGUCAUUAUUUCAGUAAUCAAAUUCAAAGCACCACGACUUUGCCCAUACAAACACCGUUUUAACUUGAUUACUCAAUGGAACUAAUCACUUUACUUCAUUCUUAAGUAUUUUCCGUUAAAGAGUUACUCCUAUAUGCUCUCCUUUUUCCACACCAAAAAAAAAAAAUUAAAAAAAAUGUAGAGUUACUGAAUGAAACCUGAUUUUUGCUGCAUGUACAACACUUCACAUCAUCUCAAAAAAAUAAAAUAAUAAAUCAAAUAUAUAACUGAUGUUAUAUUUAUCUAACGGUUUGGCUAGUGUGUGCCCAUGGGCACAUGCUAAGCGCGAAAAUUUUUGUAUUUGAGAGAUUUUGAUUGGUGUGGUUGGUGUAUUUGCUGCUAAGCGCGAAAAUUUUUGUAUUUGAGAGAUUUUGAUUGGUGUGGUUGGUGUAUUUGCAGGGGGGUCCACCAUUAUCAUGAGAUAGGAGCCAAUCAAAAUGAUCCAAGCCCAAAAUUUUCCGCGCUUAGCAUGUGCCCAUGGGCACACCAUAGAAAAACCCUUUAUCUAAAUUAAUCAUAGCCAGGACUGGGUGUAAUGAGAGACCCUGUAAAGAGCAUGAGUCAAAUGGCCAUAAUAUUCUUGUGGAAUUCAUUCAAGUCAACCAUAAAUGAGGAAGUUAUAUGUUUCCUUCCAUGUCACAUAAUUCUAACGCAUGCUUUUAAGUACCCUCUCUCACAUAUAAUUAAACUUUUGUUACUCAAUUAACACAUUUAAUUACUACUAAUCUCAUUUCCUUGUUGAGGAGCACCCCAGUUAUUUAUAACUCUCCUCAGUUAAUCUUGUAUAAACUCCUGUUUUCCCCACCUAUCAUUUCCCAUCUCCACUUCUCUUGAUUUCUUUUUAGCCUCCCUGUCUACACACACGAAAACACACAGUUGACAAUGGAAGAUGAGGAAAUGGGAUUGGGACUGGGACUUUCGAUUGGUGUGGGAGAUGAAUAUGUUCCGAAAAGGGAUCAGCAGAAGAAUAAGCGUGUUGCUGAGUUUUGCUUAGAUCUUGCGUUGCCACUUUGUUUGGAACAGGAAGGGAAGGAAGGGAUGAACUCCGAAUAUAGCAAGGCGGAAGGAUCAAUCUCAUCAUCAGAAACAUGUAAAUUUAGAGAUUGUGGCGAUGAUAUGGAAAACAAGAACAGCAGCAAUAAAAAACUUAGGCUUACUGCAGGACAGACUUCUUUGCUUGAAGACAGUUUCAAUCUGAGUAGCACCCUUAACAAGGUAAUUAUGAAUCUUAAUUUUAUGCAUGCAAGUGUGUGAUGCGUUAUGAUGUGUGUAAUCAUUAUGAACAUGGAUUGAUCAUAUAAAAACUGAAUGGCAAGUUGAUAUGUUAUAAAUUAACAAUGCAGGCUCAGAAGGAAGCACUGGCAGAGAGGUUGAAUUUAAGGCCACGCCAAGUUGAAGUCUGGUUCCAAAACCGAAGAGCAAGGUAUAUGCAUAUAAUUAUAAUAUUGUGACGGAUUUGGUUAUUGUUUCAAGAUCACUAUAUUAAUGUUGUUAGUGUGUGUGUGUGUGUGUGUGUGUGUGUGUGUGUGUGUGUGUGUGUGUGUGUGUGUGUGUGUGUGCAGGACUAAGUUGAAGCAGACGGAAGUUGACUAUGCGUUCCUGAAGAAAUGUUGUGAAAGCUUAAGUGAUGAAAAUCGAAGAUUGAAGAAAGAAUUACAAGAACUACCAUCGGUAAAGGUCAAACAACCACCAGUGUACAUCCAGCUUCCCAAGGCUACCACACUAGCAAUGUGUCCCUCCUGCGAGAAAUUUGUUCAAUUUGGCGGUGAUCCAGAUGACGACGACACAAAUAAA
rnacentral:lncRNA from 1 species